rnacentral:rRNA from 1 species
UAUAUUAAGUUGUUGCAGUUAAAAAGCUCGUAGUUGAAUUUCGGGAUCAGUACGCUGGUCAUGCCUUUGGUAUGCACUGGUGUCACUGGUUUCUCCCUUCUGAAGAACCGUGAUGUCAUUAAUUUGGUGUCGCGGGGAAUCAGGACUGUUACUUUGAAAAAAUUAGA